AGGCUUGUAGUUUAGUGGCAAAAAACGUACGCCCGAUAAGCGUGAGUUCAACAGUUCGAGUCUGUUCAAGCCUA
rnacentral:tRNA from 1 species